AAGAAGGAGCUCAUCAUCGAAGGAAGCAGUAUGCAGAUGGAUGUAGUCUCCAGGAAUUUGUUGUUAUAAGUGAACUAAAUCAAGUGCUGAUAUAAGGUAGGAUAUGGGUGCUCUCUAUAUCGAUGUAUACAAAGUAUACUGGCCAUCUAUAAUUUCAUUUGUAUAGCUUUUACUGCUAUGCAGAGUGCAAAGUGGUAAAGGCAAUGGAGUUAAUAAUCUAGAGCAGGACUGCCAUCAGAUAUUUUGGGGCCCCUACUACUGCUCAAGGUCUGGUCCCCCGUGGGCCUGGCUCCAAGCCCGCCCCCAAAUCCCACCCAUAGGAAUACACACACAGACACAAACGCACGCACUGAUACAAAAAGAACACAGAUACACACACACACAGGAGCGUAUUAGCCGCGAGGCAAACAAGGCAUUUGCCUUGGGCGGCAUUUUUCUGGGGGCGGCAAAAAACGCCGCCCCCAAAUGCCCAGGGCAAAUGCCUAGUUAGCCUUGCGGCUAACUGACAUCCCGAGCGGGCGGCGCUGGCAGGCGGGCGGCUGGCGAGGGAGCACUUCCUAUGGGCUCUCUUCUCAGCUCCCUCGCGCGCCGCAGAGUGAGGCUGGGAGCCGGAAGAUGACGUCAUAUCCCGGCUCCCAGCCUCACUCUGCAGCCGGCGCGCGAGGGAGCUGAGCAGUCAGCUCAUAGGAAGUGCUCCCUCGCCAGCCGCCCGCCUGACCUGCAGCCACCGGACCACCAGGGAUAGAGACCCCCCCCCAGCACUCCCAAAGGUAAGGAGGUUGGGGGGGGAUUUAAAUUUAAAAAAAAAGUUAAUGUGUGUGUUUGUGUCUGACUGUGUUUGUGAGUGUGUUUGUGUGUGACUGUGUGUGUGUGUGACUGUGUGUGUGUUUGUGUCUGACUGUUUGUGUCUGUGUAUGUGUCUGACUGUGUGUGUGUGUGUGUGUGUGUUUGUGUCUGUGUGACUGUGUGUGUGUUUGUGUCUGUGUGUGUGACUGUGUGUGUGUGUUUGUCUGUGUCUGUGUUUGUGUCUGUCUGUGUUUGUGUCUGACCGUGUGUGUGUGACUGUGUGUGUGUCCGUGUAUGUGUCUGACUGUGUGUCUGACUGUGUGUGUGUGUAUGUGUCUGACUGUGUGUGUGUGUGUAUGUGUCUGACUGUGUAUGUGUAUGUGUCAGACUGUGUGUGUGUUUGUGUCUGACUGUGUGUGUGUUUGUGUCUGUGUUUGUGUGUUUGUGAGUGUGUGCGCGUGUGUCUGACUGUAUGUGUGUGUGUUUGUGUCUGACUGUGUGUGUGUCUGACUGUGUGUGUGUGUGUUUGUCUCUGACUGUGUUUGUGUCUGACUGUGUGUGUUUGUGUCUGACUGUGUGUGUCUCUGACUGUGUGUGUGUUUGUGUCUGACUGUGUGUGUGUGUUUGUGUCUGACUGUGUGUGUGUGUAUUUAGAAGGUGGGGCGGGGGGGAGGGUUGGGUGGGGGUGGCGCGGGGGGAGGGGGGCGCCUGAGUUUUGUCCUGCCUAGGGCAGCACAAAACCAGGAUACACCACUGCACACACAUACAUACUAACAGACACACAUACUGAAACAGACAUACAGGCAUACAUACUGACACAUACAUACUGAAACAGACACAGACAUACAUAGUGACACACAGACACAUACUAACAUACAUACACACACACACACACACAUAAGGACAUACAUACACACACACAUACAUACUGACAUAAACACACAUACAUACAUUCUGCAAUACAUACACAUACAGACACAUACAUACUGCCAUACAUACACAUACAUACAUACAUACAUACUGAAAUACAUACACAUACAUACAGAUAUACAUAUACACAUACGCAUACAUACACAUAUACAUACAUACAGAUACAUACAUACUGACAUACAUACAUACAUACAUAAAAACUGACAUACAUACAUGCAUACUGACAUACAUACAUACUGACAUACACACAUAGCUAAUUUUUCUUUGCAUGAGUGUGGCUGGGGGUGAUGGGAGUCGGCAGACUCUCCCGUCCUCACGGCCUGUCUCUCUUUCUCCUCCCACAUGGAGUGAGCUGGGAGGAAGUGUCACUUCCUCCUAGCAGUACUUGUGACUGCAAUUUUUUGAAAGGGGCCGACCGGGACCCUGAGGAUGUAGAGCCCAUCGGGUGGCACUAAAUGCUUGGGCCCACCUGAUGGGCCCUAUCAACGUGCGGGUCCCGGUGCAGCUGCACCGGCGGCUGUUCCGCCACUACACGUGGGGCCCAGGCGGAUGGGCCCCACAAGGCUGACGGGCCCGUGAAAACCAUCAUGGUUGUCACCUCCAGAUGGCGGCCCUGGUCUAGAGUAUAACAAUCAUUAUUUUGGGACUAUAGUUUCCCUUCGAUCACCCCAUUUGCAUUUUAAAAGGUAAGUUAGAUAAAGAUUACUUACCAACUUUCCUAUGCCGGGACUCUGCCUGCUCCACUUUUGAAGACGUCCCAGAUGAAUCUGUCCCUUGGCUCAACAUUGGCAUGUAUUAUUAUUUUUUUGUGUACUAAAAUAAAGUAAAUAUUAUUACUUAUGUAAAGGACAGAUCGAAUUUUGUAGUCCAUAUUUAUAGCUUUAGUAUAAAUACAGUUAUUCAAGGGUGGUGGGAAUAAAAAACAAAUCAACAUUAUAUUCACACUUUUGCCUCUAAAACUGUGUAAACAGCUACUAUAGCUAAAAAUAACAGGAUUUCAUCUGUAUUUUUCUUUUUUUUUUUGCGAUUACAGGUCAGAUAUUACAAGGAGUGCAUCACUGAUAAAAACAGCUAAAUAUUUUCAAAACGUCGUUUUUUUUUAGUCUAUAGGUAUAAGAACAGUCCAAAACCACCCACACAAAAGCAGGGCCAAGGGUCAGUCUGACCUUGGUGUAGGACAGGGAUAGGCAACCUUCAGUACUCCAGAUGUUAUGAACUGCACUUCUCCUGAUACUUUGCCAGCAUAAUGGCUGCAAAAGCAUUGUCGGAGAUAUAGUACACAACAUUAAGAGUGCCAAAGGUGUAUGAUUUCUUUAGGCGCUUAUGUGGAUGUGGUUAAAGUCUUUCCAUACCCUUUUUUAUGCCUGCAUCUCUUUGGGGUUAUUGAUGACACCAAGAAAAUGUUAGCAAAAAUAACAAAGCUGUUACUAUAUCUGAGUUUGAUAUUUACUAUUUGACCAAAGUGUCAUGUAAGCAGCUUAGUGGCUAACACUGUAGGUUCGGGGCAUGCAAUUAGAUGGGUCAGUGUAAAUUGGUCUCUGGGUAGGAACAUGUGUGGUUGCAUCUGAGUUGAUGGGUGGUGGGGGCAAGUUGCACAUUGGUUAGAUGGCUGAAUGUGACAAGGUAGAUGUAAAUGAGUCGCUAUGUGAAUGCAUCUAAUUUGGGAUAUGUGAUUAAAUGUUGAAUUUGACAGAGUGGGUGGUGGAAAGUGGCAUGAUUCUUGUUUAAUGAGUGUACAUGACUGGGAGGAAAGGAUGGUAUGUAAGAGGUGGAUGUGUUUACAGUAAC